CGCUGGCGGCGUGCCUAACACAUGCAAGUCGCACGAGAAAGUGGAGCAAUCCAUGAGUAAAGUGGCGCACGGGUGAGUAACACGUGAAUGAUCUACCUCCGAGUGGGGAAUAACCUAGAGAAAUCUGGGCUAAUACCGCAUAACACUUACGAGUCAAAGCAGCAAUGCGCUUGGAGAGGAGUUCGCGGCCGAUUAGUUAGUUGGCGGGGUAAUGGCCCACCAAGACGAUGAUCGGUAUCCGGCCUGAGAGGGCGCACGGACACACUGGAACUGAAACACGGUCCAGACUCCUACGGGAGGCAGCAGUGGGGAAUUUUGCGCAAUGGGGGAAACCCUGACGCAGCAACGCCGCGUGGAGGAUGAAAUCCCUUGGGAUGUAAACUCCUUUCGAUCGGGACGAUUAUGACGGUACCGGAAGAAGAAGCCCCGGCUAACUUCGUGCCAGCAGCCGCGGUAAUACGAGGGGGGCAAGCGUUGUUCGGAAUUAUUGGGCGUAAAGGGCGCGUAGGCGGUUUGACAAGUCUGAUGUGAAAUCUCUGGGCUCAACUCAGAGUCUGCAUUAGAAACUGUCGGGCUAGAGUAUGGGAGAGGUGCGUGGAAUUUCCGGUGUAGCGGUGAAAUGCGUAGAUAUCGGAAGGAACACCUGUGGCGAAAGCGGCGCGCUGGACCAUA
rnacentral:rRNA from 1 species